rnacentral:rRNA from 1 species
GGGAGGCAGCAGUGGGGAAUAUUGCACAAUGGGCGCAAGCCUGAUGCAGCCAUGCCGCGUGUGUGAAGAAGGCCUUCGGGUUGUAAAGCACUUUCAGCGGGGAGGAAGGCGGUGAGGUUAAUAACCUCAUCGAUUGACGUUACCCGCAGAAGAAGCACCGGCUAACUCCGUGCCAGCAGCCGCGGUAAUACGGAGGGUGCAAGCGUUAAUCGGAAUUACUGGGCGUAAAGCGCACGCAGGCGGUCUGUCAAGUCGG